GAUUGUCCAUAUCUGCAUGGGGAAAAACGGUCAGGGUUUUGACUGGGAAUGGUCAAGAGGGGGAAGGGAACCAAAUCUUUUCACAACUUUGCCCACCCAGGAACAAGGUCCUACCUGACCUACAUUUAUAUAACUGAAAGAGACUGAGUGAUUUGUCACUGAACAAGGAAUUUGUGCUUAAGGGUGCUGUGACAGUGGAGUCAACAAUACCACAUUCAUAAAAGACUAUUCUUGUCCACGCUCUGCCAACAAGAACAUGGAAGUCCAAAGACUUUAAGUAGUAACUUCACAAGAAGAAGGAUCUGCUUUAUAAAUACUGGCAGUGACUCAAGGACAUCAACUUGUGCUCAACUCCCCCCCACCCCACUGGCCGCUCAGCUCAACACACCUCUCACCUGGGACUGCUGUGAAAGUGUGCCACUGACUAUAUCACGUCUGAGUUCUACACACUGACCUGCACGUGAAGGGCAGUUUUGAAAAUUGUCAAUGGCAGGGAAAGAGGCCACAUCCUUGAAACCGCUCAGGCCACAGCCAGCCACCCAUACAGGAGUCCCACGUUGAACAGUAAAGAAGUAAGAAAUAAGCUUGCAUGGUGUGAAAUCACUGAGCCUUCCGAAUUUAUCUGUUAUGAACACAAU